CCACGUUUAUCCCUAUUGGCAAGAUUUUGAAGCCUGUGCUGGUUGAAUGUGUCACCCCCGUUACAUGCUACUGGAGUCUCUCCUUAUUUCUGCGUGGCGAAGAACAACUUACAUUGGUGUUUAAGGAACUGCGACCCCCAUUGAAGAUGUUGGUUCCCAUUUGGAAAGCGUUGUGUGCUGUUAUCGGCACUGACCAAAGUA